GCCAGUGUGAUAUAGUGGUUUAAGCAUCAGACUAUGACUCUAGAGACCAGGGUUCUAAUCCCUGCUUGGUCA